rfam:Ictidomys tridecemlineatus contig046700, whole genome shotgun sequence.
UUUAAGUGGUCUUCCUUCCAGAACCUCUGCCCUGGGAAGGCAUCGCAGCCCCAGAAUUUGGUUAUGCAGGGCUGACUAAUGACGCCAGAUCGGGAAGGCAGUUUGUUUGCAAG